GCCCCUGUAGUUAAAUGGAUAUAACGUUCCCCUCCUAAGGGAAUAUUACAGGUUCGAUUCCUGUCGGGGGCG
rnacentral:tRNA from 1 species